rnacentral:rRNA from 1 species
GACGAACGCUGGCGGCGUGCUUAACACAUGCAAGUCGAACGAUGAAGCCGGAGCUUGCUCUGGUGAAUUAGUGGCGAACGGGUGAGUAACACGUGAGUAACCUGCCCUUGACUCUGGGAUAACUGCGGGAAACUGUAGCUAAUACCGGAUACGACCCUCGGAGGCAUCUCCUGGGGGUGGAAAGAAUUUCGGUCAAGGAUGGACUCGCGGCCUAUCAGCUAGUUGGUGAGGUAAAGGCUCACCAAGGCGACGACGGGUAGACGGCCUGGGAGGGGGACCGGCCACACUGGGACUGAGACACGGCCCAGACUCCUACGGGAGGCAGCAGUGGGGAAUAUUGCACAAUGGGCGAAAGCCUGAUGCAGCAACGCCGCGUGAGGGAUGACGGCCUUCGGGUUGUAAACCUCUUUUAGUAGGGAAGAAGCGAAAGUGACGGUACCUGCAGAAAAAGCACCGGCUAACUACGUGCCAGCAGCCGCCGUAA